UCAGAUGCGGUGUAAAGGUAACACGGUUGCUCAAAGUCGGAGUGUCUGUUUCCAAUGAAGCAAUCGAUCUAGGUUCAACCCCUGGUAUCCGAA